AUGUAAGUUUUUGCGUGAAUUUUUAUUUAUUUAAAUAAUAAAUAAAUUUUAUUAAAUUCUCAGUAAUUAAUUUUAUUAAUUGAAGAAAUUUUUAAAUAGUGAUUUCAUAGAGUAUUGGCAAAAUUUGUGCCAGCAGCCGCGGUUAUACAAAUAAUACAAAUAAAAUCUAUUCAGGUUGAGUUAAAUUUUAUGUAAAUGUAAAAAAGUUAAAUUUAUUAGGUGAAAUUUUAAAUUUAUAUAAUUAUGUUUUAGAUUUAGUUGAAGCUUAUAAAUUUUAUAAAUAAACUAGGAUUAGAUACCCUAUUAUUUAAAAUGUAAUUUAAAACUCUAAGGUAGUAAUAGUUAUGUUCUUGAAACUUAAAAAAUUUGGCGGUAUUUUAGUCUAUUCAGAGGAACCUGUUCUGUAAUUGAUAUUCCACGUUGUACCUUACUUAAUUUUGUUUUUCAAUUUAUAUACCUUCGUUAUUAGAAUAUUUUAUAAGAAUAAUAAUUUUCUAUAAUUUUUAUUAAAAUUUAUAUCAGAUCAAGGUGUAGUUUAUAUUUAAGUAGAAAUGGGUUACAAUAAAUUUAUUUAUAUGAAUUUAAAUUUGAAAUAUUUAAUGAAGGUGGAUUUGAUAGUAAAAUUUUAUAGAUUAAAGAUUUGAUUUUAGCUCUAAAAUAUGUACACAUCGCCCGUCGCUCUUAUUAUUAAGGUAAGAUAAGUCGUAACAUAGUAGAUGUA
rnacentral:rRNA from 1 species